CCUACGGGAGGCAGCAGUGGGGAAUUUUGGACAAUGGGCGAAAGCCUGAUCCAGCAAUGCCGCGUGAGUGAAGAAGGCCUUCGGGUUGUAAAGCUCUUUUGUCAGGGAAGAAACGGUGAGAGCUAAUAUCUCUUGCUAAUGACGGUACCUGAAGAAUAAGCACCGGCUAACUACGUGCCAGCAGCCGCGGUAAUACGUAGGGUGCAAGCGUUAAUCGGAAUUACUGGGCGUAAAGCGUGCGCAGGCGGUUUUGUAAGUCUGAUGUGAAAUCCCCGGGCUCAACCUGGGAAUUGCAUUGGAGACUGCAAGGCUAGAAUCUGGCAGAGGGGGGUAGAAUUCCACGUGUAGCAGUGAAAUGCGUAGAUAUGUAGGAGGAACACCGAUGGCGAAGGCAGCCCCCUGGGUCAAGAUUGACGCUCAUGCACGAAAGCGUGGGGAGCAAACAGGAUUAGAUACCCUAGGUAGUCCACGCCCUAAACGAUGUCUACUAGUUGUCGGGUCUUAAUUGACUUGGUAACGCAGCUAACGCGUGAAGUAGACCGCCUGGGGAGUACGGUCGCAAGAUUAAAACGUCAAAAGGAAUUGACGG
rnacentral:rRNA from 1 species